AGAGUUUGAUCCUGGCUCAGGACGAACGCUGACGGUGUGCUUUAGGCAUGCAAGUCGAACGAGAAAGCCCUUCGGGGUGAGUAAAGUGGCGAACGGGUGAGUAACACGUGGGCAACCUGCCCCUCGCAGGGGGACAACCGGAGGAAGCUCCGGCUAAUACCCCGUACGCUUGUUGGAUCGCAUGGUCCGGCAAGGAAAGGUAGCUUCGGCCAUCCGGCGAGGGAUGGGCCCGCGGUCCAUUAGCUAGUUGGUGGGGUAACGGCCCACCAAGGCGACGAUGGAUAGCUGGUCUGAGAGGACGAUCAGCCACACUGGGACUGAGACACGGCCCAGACUCCUACGGGAGGCAGCAGUCGGGAAUCUUGCGCAAUGGGCGAAAGCCUGACGCAGCAACACCGUGUGGGCGACGAAGGCCUUCGGGUCGUAAAGCCCUGUUGUUGGGGACGAAGGGCGAAGGGUUAAUAGCCCCUAGCCUGACGGUACCCUUCGAGGAAGCCCCGGCUAACUACGUGCCAGCAGCCGCGGUAAUACGUAGGGGGCGAGCGUUGUCCGGAAUUAUUGGGCGUAAAGAGCGUGUAGGCGGUUCGGUAAGUCUGUCGUGAAAACCUGGGGCUCAACCCCGGGCGUGCGGUGGAUACUGCCGGGCUAGAGGGUGGUAGAGGCGAGUGGAAUUCCCGGUGUAGCGGUGAAAUGCGCAGAUAUCGGGAGGAACACCAGUAGCGAAGGCGGCUCGCUGGGCCAUUCCUGACGCUGAGACGCGAAAGCAUGGGGAGCGAACAGGAUUAGAUACCCUAGUAGUCC
rnacentral:rRNA from 1 species